rnacentral:lncRNA from 10 species
CCCACCUCAGCCUCCCAAAAUGCUGGGAUUACAGGCAUGAGCCACCGCGCCCGGCUAACAGAAAAUUUUAAAUAAAACAUACAUGGAAAACUGAUAACCCAUUCCACUGAUAGCCAACAAGAAAAAUCGGUAAACAUCUUCAUCAUAUGAGGAGUUUUCUAGCAUUAGCCUAGCCAACAUUAAUCUCAUCAGCAGAUCAGUCUUUAAAGACAGUCAGAGAUGGCGGUACCAGAAGAUGUUCCCAAAAGUUGAACAAGUAGCUAAGGUGAUGGUGAUGCUGCCACCAAUGAAAACAAUAGCCAGUAUUUAUAUUGACCCUAAGAGGUAGAGAUUAACAUGUCACCAGCCCCGGUUUAUAGAUGGCAAGGAAGAGGAGGAGCUGGUACUGAAAUCCAGACAGUUGCUAUUAUGAAGUAUACAAAAUCACUUCACACAAAAGGCUCUUAGAAUAGAAUACUUCCUUAAAGAUAGCAGCAGAUCCCAUUACUUUUUAUUUUGCCAAUUUAAAGUUUCUUUUUUCUUUUCUUUUUUGAUAUAGGGUCUCACUCUCUCACCCAGGCUGCAGUGCAGUGACAUGAUCAUGGUCACGGCUCGCUGCAUCCUCGACUUCCUGGGUUCAAGUGAUCCUCCCACCUCAGCUUCCCAGAGAGCUAGGACUACAGUAGGCACACGCCACCACGCCCCGCUAAUUUUAAGUAGAGACAGAGUUUCUGCAUGUUCCCCAGACUGGCCUCAUGCGAUGCAAUCUGCUCCCUGCCACCCUACCUCCAAAAGUGCUAGGAUUACAAGUGUGAGCCACCAUGUCCAGCCUGAAGUU